ACGUGGUGAAUAGUUGUGUUAGUUGAGUCGCGAUUCAGUGCGUGAGUAACAAUUUGACCGAGUUUCUAAUUUUUACCAAAGAUACGUUCGAAGUGAGGCAAAGAUGGUUGACUUCACAAAAACAUGUUACUGCAAGCAGAAUAGUCUGCAUACAUCAAAGUGUAAGUGUAAGUGCGUGUGACUUCGACGUACAUUUUGCUCAUUACUGGAUACAUAUUAAGAAGAAUGCUUUUGGAUUGUAUAGUCAUGAUAACAAGUGAUAAUUCACAUUUAAGUGAAUUCAGGACUUGGUGAUGGUAUUGGUAAGUUGCAU